rnacentral:rRNA from 1 species
UACAGAGGGGGCAAGCGUUAUUCGGAAUUAUUGGGCGUAAAGAGCGUGUAGGCGGCCAGGCAGGUCCGUUGUGAAAACUGGAGGCUUAACCUCCAGACGUCGAUGGAAACCGUCUGGCUAGAGUCCGGAAGAGGAGAGUGGAAUUCCUGGUGUAGCGGUGAAAUGCGCAGAUAUCAGGAAGAACACCCGUGGCUAAGGCGGCUCUCUAGUACGGUACUGACGCUGAGACGCGAAAGCGUGGGGAGCGAACAGG